rnacentral:rRNA from 1 species
GUUAGGAAUAUUGGACAAUGGGCGAAAGCCUGAUCCAGCCAUGCCGCGUGAACGAUGAAGGCCUUCGGGUUGUAAAGCUCUUUAGUCCACGAAUAUAAUGACUGUAGUGGAAGAAUAAGCCCCGGCUAACUUCGUGCCAGCAGCCGCGGUAAUACGAAGGGGGCGAGCGUUAUUCGGAAUCACUGGGCGUAAAGCGUGCGUAGGCUGUUUUGUAAGUCAGAAGUGAAAGCCCAGGGCUUAACCCUGGAAUUGCUUUUGAAACUACAAGACUCGAAUUCGGGAGAGGAUAGCGGAAUUGUCAGUGUAGCAGUGAAAUGCGUAGAUAUUGACAGGAACACCAGUGGCGCAAGCGGCUAUCUGGACCGAUAUUGACGCUGAGGCACGAAAGCGUGGGGAGCAAACAGGAUUAGAUACCCCGGUAGUCC